GAUGAACGCUCGCUACAGGCUUAACACAUGCAAGUCGCGGGGCAGCAUGGGGGUUGCUUGCAAUCCCCGAUGGCGACCGGCGCACGGGUGAGUAACGCGUAUCCAACCUGCCCUUCACCACGGGAUAACCCGGCGAAAGUCGGACUAAUACCGUAUGUUGUCCAUUGACGGCCUCCGAUAUGGACGAAAGGCUUGGCGGUGAGGGAUGGGGAUGCGUCCGAUUAGCCAGACGGCGGGGUAACGGCCCACCGUGGCUACGAUCGGUAGGGGUUCUGAGAGGAAGGUCCCCCACACUGGAACUGAGACACGGUCCAGACUCCUACGGGAGGCAGCAGUGAGGAAUAUUGGUCAAUGGGCGUAAGCCUGAACCAGCCAAGUAGCGUGCAGGAUGACGGCCCUAUGGGUUGUAAACUGCUUUUAUGCGGGGAUAAAGUGGCCCACGGGUGGGCUUUUGCAGGUACCGCAUGAAUAAGGACCGGCUAAUUCCGUG
rnacentral:rRNA from 1 species